AGUGCGGAGGGGGUGGUUCCAGGCUCACUUCACAGUGGUGCUUGGGGAGCUGCAGUAUUUUGACAACACCGAGGGAAGAGAGUCAGGUCAGUGGGGUUCAUAACUGAGAUGAUGAGAAUGGGGUCUACACCAGCCGCGGAGACCCCUGGGGUCUGGCCCCAGCAGGAGAUGUCCAAGUGGCAGAAAGCCCCUUCCUGCCUGGAGAGCACCCCCGUGAGGACUCUGGGCACCACUGGGCCGCAGCUGCUCCCUCCCAGUCACUCACCACACUUCUCUCUCCCGCCCACCCUCCAACCUGCCUGCAAAUUCCCCUGCAACCCAACUCUGGUCUCCUCCCAACCCUGCCCCCACGUAGGCCUAUUUUUUCUUUUUCACUUCUUCCCCCCAGUGACUUCCUUCUACAGUGUUGAUUCAGCUCCCUUUGCAGGCGAGUGAGGCCCUUUGCAGGCGGGGGCGGGGGCGGGGGCGGGGGAGAGGGCUGCAGGCAGUGCUGGUGGAGGGGAGGAGGUGACACACACUCCCUAGAGGCUAGUGGGGAGGGCAUGGGGCAGGAAAUGGAGUUGGGUGCCCCAGGUGGGCUGCUCCAACGAGCUCUUUCUCAUGGGAUCCUCCACAGAUUCAUACAACAGGCUGAACACCAGGGCUGGUCUCAGGCCACCUGACGGGGUUCACUGCAGAAAUGGAGAUCUGCCCUGGGCAGCCAGGGGAAAACCAGAGGAGAAGAAACUGUAAUUCCAGUCCGUCCACAUGGCCUAGCAGUGAACAACAGUUCCACGGUCAGAGCAAAAGCACCAAGCCGAUUGAAAGCAUCUCGAAUGCGGUGGGGCAAUGGGAGGUAAUGCCCUCAUCUACCAAAACGAGGUCUGCCACCUUCACAGACCACUAAACCUCAUUCCUCCACCCACCUCCGCACCCCACGAAGGCUGGUUGACCAGAGAGCAGGGCUCCCGAGUGUCGGGUUGGGUCAGAUCGGGUGGGUGCCCUUUACCCCAACCGAGGCCCUGUCCCGGACUGGGGGUCCACUUGCCCUCAAAGCAUGCCAGUCUUCUUUCCGAUACUUGACAUUUUUCCUUUCCUGUUCAAUUCAUGGUUUCCGCCCGAAUGGAGCCACGAGAGGACUCCUUUGGGGAUGUGUCUCCCAGAAAAGUCUGGGCAGCCUUCAUCAUCCUGGAUUCCUGUGACUUGGUUUCCAUGGGGGCUUUCUAAGCUCAGGGACCCCAAGCCUCCAUCAAAUCUAAUGACCCGCCCUGUCUCUGAACACAUCUGUGUUGUCUCUGAGCCCCUUACCAACCCCCUCCGCAACCCCGCCCACACAUUUCCCAUCCUGAAGGGUCCAGUCCUUAGGCCGGCCCAUGUGUUCCCUUUACCCCUGCUUCGUCCCUACCUGGUGGGGAGCUGUCCCUUCUGGGCCCUAGUGUGACACUUCACACACCAAUGUGUCCCGUGGGUGGUAUCUGGGGCCUUCCCCUGCAGUGAGGGGGAUGACCUAUGCACAGAGCUCACUGGGCCUGGGUAUGGGCCUGGGUGGCACAGAACACAGAGAAAGUGCUCCGUAAAAGUGAGCUGAGAUGCCCCCGCUAGGGAGGAGCUGGGCAAGCUCUUCCCUGGAGGAGGAAGAGCUCUCAACCCAGAGGGAUCUGACCAGAAAGGUUCACUCGCCUCCACCCAGGAAGCCCCUGCAGACAGUAUGUGUUUUAGGCUUUGCUGGCCAAAUGGUCUCUGCCACGACUUCUCAGCUCUGCCAUUGUGGCUGCAGAGUGGCCAUAGACCUUCUGAAAGUGAAUGAGUAUGACUGUUUUCCAAUAAAACUUCAUUGACAAAAA